GAGAUAAGAGGAAUCGCUGUUAAACCUAAAAUAGAUCAUAACUGUAUAUACUAAAAUAGUCUAAGAUUUACUAGUUGUUAUGAUUUGAAGGGUUUGUUACCAAA